UGGGGAAUUUUGCACAAUGGGGGCAACCCUGAUGCAGCGACGCCGCGUGAUUUAGAAGGCCUUCGGGUUGUAAAAAUCUUUUGUAUGGGAAGAAAAUGACAGUACCAUACGAAUAAGGACCGGCUAAUUACGUGCCAGCAGCCGCGGUAAUACGUAAGGUCCGAGCGUUGUCCGGAAUCAUUGGGCGUAAAGGGUACGUAGGCGGAUAAGCAAGUUAGAAGUGAAAUCCUAUAGCUCAACUAUAGUAAGCUUUUAAAACUGCUCAUCUUGAGGUAUGGAAGGGAAAGUGGAAUUCCUAGUGUAGCGGUGAAAUGCGCAGAUAUUAGGAGGAAUACCGGUGGCGAAGGCGACUUCCUGGCCAUAAACUGACGCUGAGGUACGAAAGCGUGGGUAGCAAACAGG
rnacentral:rRNA from 1 species